UACGGAGGAUCCAAGCGUUAUCCGGAAUCAUUGGGUUUAAAGGGUCCGUAGGUGGACCGUUAAGUCAGAGGUGAAAUCCUGCAGCUCAACUGUAGAAUUGCCUUUGAUACUGGCGGUCUUGAAUCAUUGUGAAGUGGUUAGAAUAUGUAGUGUAGCGGUGAAAUGCAUAGAUAUUACAUAGAAUACCGAUUGCGAAGGCAGAUCACUAACAAUGUAUUGACACUGAUGGACGAAAGCGUGGGGAGCGAACAGG
rnacentral:rRNA from 1 species